rnacentral:rRNA from 1 species
CCUACGUGAGGCAGCAGUGGGGAAUAUUGCGCAAUGGGCGAAAGCCUGACGCAGCGACGCCGCGUGAGGGAUGAAGGUCUUCGGAUCGUAAACCUCUGUCAGCAGGGAAGAACGGUCACUGUGCUAAUCAGCAGUGAAUUGACGGUACCUGCAAAGGAAGCACCGGCUAACUCCGUGCCAGCAGCCGCGGUAAUACGGAGGUUGCGAGCGUUAAUCGGAAUUACUGGGCGUAAAGCGCUCGUAGGCGGUAUGUCAAGUCAAGGGUGAAAUCCCCGCGCUCAACGUGGGAACUGCCUUUGAAACUGGCAAACUGGAGUGUGUGAGAGGAUAGUGGAAUUCCAGGGGGAGGAGUGAAAUCCGUAGAUAUCUGGAGGAACAUCAGUGGCGAAGGCGACUAUCUGGCACAUAACUGACGCUGAGGAGCGAAAGCGUGGGUAGCAAACAGGAUUAGAUACCCCUGUAGUC